CCCUCCCUCUUUCUUCAGGCUUAACACAUGCAAGUCGAGCGCCCCGCAAGGGGAGCGGCAGACGGGUGAGUAACGCGUGGGAACGUACCUUUUGGUUCGGAACAACUCCGGGAAACUGGAGCUAAUACCGGAUAAGCCCUAACGGGGAAAGAUUUAUCGCCGAAAGAUCGGCCCGCGUCUGAUUAGCUAGUUGGUGAGGUAACGGCUCACCAAGGCGACGAUCAGUAGCUGGUCUGAGAGGAUGAUCAGCCACACUGGGACUGAGACACGGCCCAGACUCCUACGGGAGGCAGCAGUGGGGAAUAUUGGACAAUGGGCGCAAGCCUGAUCCAGCCAUGCCGCGUGAGUGAUGAAGGCCUUAGGGUUGUAAAGCUCUUUUGUCCGGGAAGAUAAUGACUGUACCGGAAGAAUAAGCCCCGGCUAACUUCGUG
rnacentral:rRNA from 1 species